AAGAAGCCUCGUCGUCCCUACGAGAAGGAGCGUUUGGACGCCGAGUUGAAGCUGGUCGGUGAGUACGGGCUUCGCUGCAAGAGGGAGUUAUGGAGGGUCCAGUACGCCCUGAGCCGCAUCCGUAACAACGCCAGAAACCUAUUGACCCUUGAUGAGAAGAACCCUCGCCGUAUCUUCGAGGGUGAAGCCCUUCUCCGAAGAAUGUUCCGUUACGGACUCCUCGACGAGACACAGAACAAGCUGGAUUAUGUGUUGGCUCUCACCGUCGAGAACUUUCUCGAACGCCGCCUCCAAACCCUCGUCUUCAAGUCUGGCAUGGCCAAGUCCAUCCAC
rnacentral:lncRNA from 1 species